rnacentral:sRNA from 1 species
AAGAAGAAGAAACAAAAA